CUUAGCUAUAGGACGUAGACCAGCUCAUCCUGUAGAAAAGCUUCAUAUCUCAAUAAUAUCCGGGGAUACAGAACAUCCAAGAAAUCAGAAACAGAAAUUCCAGGGGAAAAGGUCCCAAAAGCUCUGGCUGAGAGCUUGCAGCCCCUCAGCCUCACAGCUCCUGAGGGAAACAGCCCUGAAGUUUUCAUAGAAACCUCGGAGAGAGAACAGCACCACAGAUCCACGGAACUCCAGCUGAAACAUCUGCAAGCCUUAGCUGGGCCUGAAACGAGGAUGGGAAAAUGCAGAAUACUUGUCAGGACAGCCCUACCACUGACGCACUUUUGAAAAAUAUUGAACCACAAUUGGACCAGAAGAUUUCCGUGCAACAUCUUUGGAAAGCAGUGAAAAGUGGCAGAGAACUUCAAUCUGACCACUUCAGCGUAACCAACGGUGAAAGGCAAAGGUCAAAAGACAUUAAAGAUGUUAAAGUAACAAAAGCCCUGUACAACAAUUACUGAUGCAUUUUGAAUCAAUGUGCAGAAAGGAGCAUGCUUAGCACAGUUCCACUCCAUUGGUGCUUUCCAGUCAUAGAAAACAAGCAUAAAGAUUAAAGUUCUUGUUUGUAUGGAAAAUGGACAUACGACCUAGAAUCUUGAUUUUCCAGCAUUCUUGCUCAUGUGGAGACUUUCCACGUGGACAAGGGCUUCUGUACUUCAAAUUAGCCUAUUUCCACAUCAGAAAAGCAACGACGCAGGCAUUUCAAACCUCGUGUGCUUUUUUCCCAAUUAGUAAGACAGCCUUCCUGAUUUUGAAAAGCCUUUCAACCACAGAUCUAAAGGAACUCUAAGUAUCAUAAGCCUUUCCUUUUGGCUGUUCAGGUGUUAAGAAGAGUGAGAAACCCAAAGAAAGCAAUAUCUUUCAAGAACUGUCUGUCUUGGAGGGUGGCGGACUCUUCCUCUUUGAAGGAUUUUAAGUAGAGAUUGCACAAUCUUUGGAGAGUGCAUUAACAGGGGAUUUGUGUAUAGUGGGGACUGGAGUCAACGGCCCUUGUGGACUUUCCAACUUUCCAACAUUAUUCUAAAUGAGAAGCCUUUAAAUUAUGUGUUAACAUGCAGGAUCUCAAAUGUAAUUUCAUUCUAUUCUCUCUUUUAAAGCAGACUAUAGUCCAGAGUUUUCCAAGCUUUGUGUCAUGAUACAUUGUGUCGGUUGCAAUGUGUAGUGUUGCCAUGUGAAUGUAA